rnacentral:rRNA from 1 species
CGUACACUCCUGCGGGAGGCAGCAGUGGGGAAUUUUGGACAAUGGGCGAAAGCCUGAUCCAGCCAUGCCGCGUGCAGGAUGAAGGCCUUCGGGUUGUAAACUGCUUUUGUACGGAACGAAACGGCCUUUUCUAAUAAAGAGGGCUAAUGACGGUACCGUAAGAAUAAGCACCGGCUAACUACGUGCCAGCAGCCGCGGUAAUACGUAGGGUGCAAGCGUUAAUCGGAAUUACUGGGCGUAAAGCGUGCGCAGGCGGUUAUGUAAGACAGUUGUGAAAUCCCCGGGCUCAACCUGGGAACUGCAUCUGUGACUGCAUAGCUAGAGUACGGUAGAGGGGGAUGGAAUUCCGCGUGUAGCAGUGAAAUGCGUAGAUAUGCGGAGGAACACCGAUGGCGAAGGCAAUCCCCUGGACCUGUACUGACGCUCAUGCACGAAAGCGUGGGGAGCAAACAGGAUUAGAUACCCUUGUAGUCCCGU